UCCCAACAGAACAUACCGAAGAGAAAACGAGGGACUUUUGCAACCCGCGGGCGUACCUUCCUCGUGAUUGGAAGUUAUGUGGCUCCCGACAGGUGUCAUGUAACAGGUAGAAAAAACCCUCAUCCAAGAGCACCAUCUCGUUUACCCUUCCCUACCUUUUUCCUCCAGGGACGAUUCUAGAGUGUCUUCUCUUCGAUCGAAGGGUGCAAGAAGUUAGAAGAUGAUUUGAAACACUGAAGAAGCCGGAGAAGGAACGGAAGCAAGUUGAACGAUAUGAGUACGAGGAAUACUGCAUUCCGAUGAAACAAUCAAAUCAGAGACUGCUGGCACCAAAAGAAGGUGAUUCCUCGAGUUACUGGAGCCUUUGGAUUCACAAACUUGUUCAUCUCCUGUUAUCAGGUAGUAUUUGCAAUUUGAUUCUUUCUAUAGAGAUAUGAACUCAACUCAUUGGAUUCUAGUACCACCAUUUUCUACUUGACAUGCAGCUGCUUCAUAGUCCAUGCUGACAGAGGUGAUGUAUAAUGACACAGUCUCUGGUCUUUAGGUUUCUUUUUAUGUAAUUCCUGCCAAGCAAUCUAGAGUUUACAACCCCUAUUCAAAUAUGUCGAGUGAAUGACUAGUGGUAUGAACGCACACUUGCCACUUGCCAUCCACGAACCAUGAUUGAAUAGGGAUAUCAUCAUCGGAUAUCUUUUAGAUUAUAAAAGUUCUAUUCGAUUGUUGUUAAAUGAAGGAUGCUUUAUGGAUCUCAAUAUUAGAAAGUUCAGAAAUUUUAUACA